rfam:Lingula anatina scaffold807, whole genome shotgun sequence.
GGUUCUGUAGUGUAGUGGCGAUCACGUCAGCUUUACACGCUGAAGGUCCCAGGUUCGAGACCUGGCAGAGCCA